ACUGGAGGACCGAACCGACUAAUGUUGAAAAAUUAGCGGAUGACUUGUGGCUGGGGGUGAAAGGCCAAUCAAACCGGGAGAUAGCUGGUUCUCCCCGAAAGCUAUUUAGGUAGCGCCUCGUGAAUUCAUCUCCGGGGGUAGAGCACUGUUUCGGCAAGGGGGUCAUCCCGACUUACCAACCCGAUGCAAACUGCGAAUACCGGAGAAUGUUAUCACGGGAGACACACGGCGGGUGCUAACGUCCGUCGUGAAGAGGGAAACAACCCAGACCGCCAGCUAAGGUCCCAAAGUCAUGGUUAAGUGGGAAACGAUGUGGGAAGGCCCAGACAGCCAGGAUGUUGGCUUAGAAGCAGCCAUCAUUUAAAGAAAGCGUAAUAGCUCACUGGUCGAGUCGGCCUGCGCGGAAGAUGUAACGGGGCUAAACCAUGCACCGAAGCUGCGGCAGCGACGCUUAUGCGUUGUUGGGUAGGGGAGCGUUCUGUAAGCCUGUGAAGGUGUGCUGUGAGGCAUGCUGGAGGUAUCAGAAGUGCGAAUGCUGACAUAAGUAACGAUAAAGCGGGUGAAAAGCCCGCUCGCCGGAAGACCAAGGGUUCCUGUCCAACGUUAAUCGGGGCAGGGUGAGUCGACCCCUAAGGCGAGGCCGAAAGGCGUAGUCGAUGGGAAACAGGUUAAUAUUCCUGUACUUGGUGUUACUGCGAAGGGGGGACGGAGAAGGCUAUGUUGGCCGGGCGACGGUUGUCCCGGUUUAAGCGUGUAGGCUGGUUUUCCAGGCAAAUCCGGAAAAUCAAGGCUGAGGCGUGAUGACGAGGCACUACGGUGCUGAAGCAACAAAUGCCCUGCUUCCAGGAAAAGCCUCUAAGCAUCAGGUAACAUCAAAUCGUACCCCAAACCGACACAGGUGGUCAGGUAGAGA
rnacentral:rRNA from 1 species